rnacentral:lncRNA from 1 species
GCUUACACUAGGGGAAAAUACAUGGAAGAAAUAACGUGAAAAGGGUAUGUUUCGAUCUGCAUUCAGACUCAGCCAGUUCCUUCUACGGUGGUGGAGAGACUUUUCCAUCAUGAGUCCCUUGGAGUUGUACUGAAGUAGGUUAUUUUCAAGCAUCCACUAGAUGACUCCUUGGCAGAGAUGUUACAGAGGGUUGUUUCUGUUAAGGGACAAGUUCAUUUAAAUCCCUGCUGAAGUCCCUCCUAACUUGGAACUUCUUUUAUUCUUUAGUAUUUCUGAUGCUCUGAGUGAUCAAAAAAGGAUACAGGCCAACAGGAAAUUGAAGAAAGAUUAUUGGGACCUUCAGCUAUCACAGUAUGCCUAUGGCAGCAUAUCACAGGGAGGUGACAGUUGGAACCCAAGUGAAGAAUGUGACAUUUCUUUUAAUAAUAUCCCUUAUGUGAGAAACUCAAAAUUCUCCCAUUCAAAAACUUACACCAUGCCGAGGUUAAUCCAUUCUCAAGAUGCUUUGCAAAGCCAUUGGAAGAAGUCUAAAACAUGAGAGUUAUCGAAGUCCAGGGCAGGACAAAAGUCAGGAUAACCAGUGAUGACAAGGGAUACAAUGGAUGACCUUGGCAUCUUCAGUGUAGACCAAGCUCUAAGAGCUCCACGGUUCCUGCUUCAGCCACUUUUGUGGUCAUUGAAAUAAAUUGUUCUUAUCAGAGUAAGCA